AUUUCAUCGGAUGUUGUCAAAUCUAUCCCGUCAACGGGAUUGGCGCGUUAACGGGAUCACUAAGAGGUUAACCUCUCCCUUGUUCAUUUCAAUGUCCAUAUGUUCAUGACCCGAUUUAUAUAAAUCAUGUCAAAUUAUUUUACAUUAUUAUUUUACAUUCAUAUUAACCCCUUGAGUGCUGAAAUAAAUAUCAAAAUUAUCAUAUACAAAAAUAUGUUGAGUGGCAAAGUCUCAUAGAUUCACCAAACAUCUACUAUUCUAUGUUUCAUUAUUCCUGGUAUAUAAUACUGGUUAUGAUUGCAGACAGAGCCCAGAGAACGGGAUGGUGUAAUACUGAAUGUGUCAUAGAGAUGUCCACGUCACCCAGAGAUAUAUCUAUGCUGUAGAGAGACACCUAGUGGACUGAAACUUCAUAGUUGUAGGCAUAAUACAGCUAGUGAUGUUUAGACUUGCGCUGGUAAACACAUCCAUUACAUCAGCUACCUAAAUGUGAAGUAAAGUCAACUGAGGAGUAUUAGAGAAUGGAGACUUUUAACUUGAAAACGUGCAGGAAACCUCUUUCCGGUUUCUCUGACUUCCGUAUUUUAUAUACUGUUGCUAUGUUUGUUCGUGCAGCACUCCUCACAGGCCGUUUGGUGUGCGUUUUUUAUUGAUGGCGAGAUGAAACUUCUAAAACUCUGAAAGCUGUGGUGUGCAUGUGACGGCCUGGAGGAGUGUAGCGGUGGUGUGUUUGCUGAAUUCCGCCCCGUCUCUAAUUAACCACAUCAUCUCAGUAGCAGGCUGGAGGGUGACUGAGGACGGGACAGAGCACUGGGUGGUGAGAAACUUCUGAGGAGGAAUAUGGUUGGGCGAGGAUCGCGACCCGUGCUUAUAAAGGAAGUAAAGUCAACGGUAAAAUCGAAGACGACUGUUGCCUAUCGGAAUCCCAUUGUGACAUAAGAGGAAGGAUAUGAUAACACGAUUAGCUCCUAGACCUGUCAAUCAAAAGCCUUAGAGGCGUAUCCCGGAACAUAUAUUGUCUUCCUUAUUAACGAAGGUAUCAUUGUCCUAUAUUUCUUACCAGGUCCAUCUACAAGGCAAUAAUGUCAUUACCGAUGCUGUUAUGCAUGCCGACCUGACCUUAGCAUUGACCUGAUCUUUUUUUGUUUGUUGUUGUUGACAUUACUGAAUGUUAAUAUUGAAGAAUAUGUCAAGAGAUACUGCUGUCCACUCAAUUCAGUGUAAACGUGUCCUGUGACAGCAGUCUCAGAGACUGUUACUGAACUACACUGCACACUAAUUCCCCAUUGGGCUUUUUGACUGCUGUUAGCAAAUGUUAUGUAAGAAUAAACAAUGAUUUUCAUUUGUUCAGUGAAAUAUGAAAUUGGUGAAGCAGGUAACUGUUACUGUGCCUUUAAAGCUGUUCAUUGGUCCUCUUAAGAAAUUGUUAAAAUAAUCUGCUUCCUUAUGCUCCUGAGCUCUUCAUCGAUUGGCUAGCUAAUCUGAGCGCCCAAUCCUGAUGCUAUUUCCGAGGCUAUAUUAUAAUUAGGAAUCAUUAUUAGUGUGCUGUAAAGGAAGGCUGUGUUGUAUGAUUUUAACCCCAACGUGACAAGAAUGUUGUUGUAAUCACAGCUAUAUAAUAAUUCACUGCUUUGCUGUCUGGCUUUACAGGAAGUAUUCAAUAACAGACCUAGACCUAUUUCAUGUAAUCUAGAGAAAUCAACCAAUCAAUAAAGACCCU